UACCAAUCCAUUGUUGAGCUGAUCACAAUCUCUCCUCAAAUGUCUGACUUUCCUCUGUCUAUCCAAGUGAUUCCAGCCUUCGUGACCACUCAAAUAUUUACCCAAAGGUUUCCUGGUGAACCUAAUGUUAUUUUAUUUAUCACAACAUAUGAAUAAAUGAAGAAGGGGAUUCUUGUUCCAAGAACUUCAAGUUCAAGCAUUCCAUUUUCACCUUCAACCUACAAAGGAAAUCUCCAAUAGCACUUUUAAACAAGAGGAAUAAUAAAAAUUGUGGUGGGUUAGAAAAUGGUUCAAUGGUGAAGAAAUGAGGUUUGUUAAACAGGAUGGAACUUGAUGAUGGAUCAUAAGAGAAACUUCAAAAGGAAAUGCAACUUUACUAGGAGACAGAAAGCAAAACAGAAAGCUUCAUGUCUUGUGCUAGCGUACCUCCCUGGAUAACAGCCAAAAGAAAUCUCCUACUUGGACUGAACGGCAACAGUAGAGACCAGGACCCAUCCUGUGGUCAAU
rnacentral:lncRNA from 1 species